rnacentral:rRNA from 1 species
AGUGAACGCUGGCGGUAGGCCUAACACAUGCAAGUCGAACGGCAGCACAGUAAGAGCUUGCUCUUACGGGUGGCGAGUGGCGGACGGGUGAGGAAUACAUCGGAAUCUACUUUUUCGUGGGGGAUAACGUAGGGAAACUUACGCUAAUACCGCAUACGACCUACGGGUGAAAGCAGGGGAUCUUCGGACCUUGCGCGAUUGAAUGAGCCGAUGUCGGAUUAGCUAGUUGGCGGGGUAAAGGCCCACCAAGGCGACGAUCCGUAGCUGGUCUGAGAGGAUGAUCACCCAAACUGGAACUGAACCACGGUCCAAACCCCUACGGGAGGCAGCAGUGGGGAAUUUUGGGCAAGGGGGGAAACCCUUACCCAGCAAUCCCGGGGGGGGAAAGAAGGCCUUGGGGUUGUAAAGCCCUUUUGUUGGGAAAAAAAAGCAGCAGGUUAACACCCCGCUGUUUUGACGGUACCCAAAGAAUAAGCACCGGCUAACUUCGU